GGCAGGCUUAACACAUGCAAGUCGAGCGGGGGAAGGUAGCUUGCUACCGGACCUAGCGGCGGACGGGUGAGUAAUGCUUAGGAAUCUGCCUAUUAGUGGGGGACAACAUCUCGAAAGGGAUGCUAAUACCGCAUACGUCCUACGGGAGAAAGCAGGGGAUCUUCGGACCUUGCGCUAAUAGAUGAGCCUAAGUCGGAUUAGCUAGUUGGUGGGGUAAAGGCCUACCAAGGCGACGAUCUGUAGCGGGUCUGAGAGGAUGAUCCGCCACACUGGGACUGAGACACGGCCCAGACUCCUACGGGAGGCAGCAGUGGGGAAUAUUGGACAAUGGGGGGAACCCUGAUCCAGCCAUGCCGCGUGUGUGAAGA
rnacentral:rRNA from 1 species